GAAGGUGGUGGUGGAUGAGCAGGAAUAAUUAAUUAAUUAACAUUUAAUUGUGAACCUCCUGACUAGCUUGCCAGCCACACACUUCCUCUACAGUCUGGUGAUCAUUAUGUACAACUAUGUCAUGCUACUAAGAAAUACUGUUAAUAGGCCUCCCUAUAUAGCCUACAUGUUGAAAGUGCAACCCCAAAAUCUGCAACUCACUUCCUGCAAAGUCACACAGUCAUAUAUAGUGUAACAUUUCAGUAGCCUGUAUGUAAACUGAAUCGACUUUAUUUCACUAUCGUUUAACUAUACGAAACAGAACCACUCAGUGUGUAACAUUUCAACAUGCUCCCCCUUUAAUUUUGAGCCUUAAAACCCAAGAUGAGAUGUUGGCCGUGUUCGAGAGCAUCAUACCCAUGAUGCAUUGGGGGUAAAUGGUAACUGACUGAUCUAAAAAAAUAAUAAGCCAGCGGUUAUAUGUGAUGCAAGGUGAUUUGUAGAUCAGUCAGUCGGUAGCCGCCUGCAAUGCUCAACAAGCCCAUUGCCUGCAGUGUUCAGGUAAUCUUCCACUCACUGAGGGAGAGCGUGACGCCCUGCGCGUUCAGGUAAUCUUCCACUCACUGAGGGAGAGCGUGACGCCCUGCGCGUUCAGGUAAUCUUCCACUCACUGAGGGAGAGCGUGACGCCCUGCGCGUUCAGGUAAUCUUCCACUCACUGAGGGAGAGCGUGACGCCCUGCGCGUUCAGGUAAUCUUCCACUCACUGAGGGAGAGCGUGACGCCCUGCGCGUUCAGGUAAUCUUCCACUCACUGAGGGAGAGCGUGACGCCCUGCGCGUUCAGGUAAUCUUCCACUCACUGAGGGAGAGCGUGACGCCCUGCGCGUUCAGGUAAUCUUCCACUCACUGAGGGAGAGC